UUGAACUAUGUAUCUGGAUGC
rnacentral:miRNA from 1 species